rnacentral:rRNA from 1 species
GACGAACGCUGGCGGCGUGCUUAACACAUGCAAGUCGAACGAUGAAGCCGGAGCUUGCUCCGGUGGAUUAGUGGCGAACGGGUGAGUAACACGUGGGCAAUCUGCCCUUGACUCUGGGAUAACUGCGGGACACUGUAGCUAAUACCGGAUACGACACCUUGGGGCAUCCCAGGGUGUGGAAAGAAUUUCGGUCAAGGAUGAGCUCGCGGCCUAUCAGCUAGUUGGUGAGGUAAUGGCUCACCAAGGCGACGACGGGUAGCCGGCCUGAGAGGGUGACCGGCCACACUGGAACUGAUACACGGUCCAGACUCCUACGGGAGGCAGCAGUGGGGAAUAUUGCACAAUGGGCGAAAGCCUGAUGCAGCAACGCCGCGUGAGGGAUGAAGGCCUUCGGGUUGUAAACCUCUUUUAGCAGGGAAGAAGCGAAAGUGACGGUACCUGCAGAAAAAGCACCGGCUAACUACGUGCCAGCCGCCGCAGUAA